rnacentral:rRNA from 1 species
AUGGCCAAGGCCGCAUGCGUGGGCGCCGCCGGCGAACUCCUGGACGACCUCCUCCUCGUCGUCUUCGAGCACUUGCCGGGCGUCCAGGACCUCCUCCGCUGCGCAGCCACGUGCAAACAGUGGCUCUGCCUCAUCAAAGACCCGGUCUUCCUCCGACGCAUCGGCCUCUGGCCGGAGACAGCGCCGCACCCCUCGGUCCUCGUCGGCAUCUUCUACCAGAACGUAGCGGCUAGCGCGAUUCAGCCCGUGAGAAGGAUACCCGACAGUCCUCCCCAAUUCUUGAGCCUUCAGGCUGGCGGCGGCCAUCUCACCUUCGACUCCUUCGUCGCCAACGACGACGGGCUCUUCAACUUUGCAAGGCCACUGGCGUCACGCCGUGGUCUUCUCCUCGUGCGCAUCCUGCUGCCUACCCCGGCCGACCACCAACGCCGUGAGAAGCUCCAUCUUGCGGUGUGCCGCCCUCUGAUCGACAAGCGGGGUAGGCAUUUGCUCCCACCGCCUCCCUUCUUGGUAAACCAUGGAUUCAUCAACGGGCUCCGCCUAACUGGCUAUGCUCUUCUCACCGAUGAGGACCACCGUGCCAUUGAUGAUCUGGAUCAGCAACGACGGUCGUCGUUCCAAGUCGUCUUGACUUACACAGGCGCCAACAGAGUCAUGUAUGCCUGUGGGUACUCCUCUGCCACAGACAGUUGGAGCACGCCCAUCAAGUGCCACCAGGUUUCACACCUCUCCAGGUGUGGACCGUAUGCCGGCGUCGUCACCUGUGGCACCGUGCACUGGCUGUUCACAGACCAGAGAAGCUUCUACACACUCAAUGUAAGUGUCGCCACCGCACAUGUCUCAUUGACCAAGAUCCCCAUCAACGUCCAUGCUGGUGAGCAGCGGCGGCGAGUGCCGUUUCCAUGUGUCACCGGAGAAAGAAAGCUCUCUUUUGUGAGCAUACGAGAUGAUGGUGUGCUAGAGCUUUGGGCCAAGCAAGGGCAAGAUGACAAUGAUCAUGGCGGCGAGGCUGCUGCAGGAGGGUGGUUGCGCUCUGACCUGAUAAAUCUAGGAAGCGGUGAUAAAAUAAACCUUGUCUUCUUCGCGGAGAGGAGAGGUGCCAUGCUCGUCGAGCAGGGUGGUGCUUUCUUCACCAUUGAUCUCAAGAGCAAGGAAAAGGCGUUGGUCGAUCUCAAAGGCGAGGAAAUGGAGCAUGUCAGGGGCAUCUGCAGGUUUCCAAUGCAUCGCUGUAGUAGUAGUUGGUGUAGUGGAUUCCACUGCAGCUGGGGGAGGAUCAGUCCUUGCGCGUAUAACAAGCCUGUGCUGUACGAGGUGGAUUGGAUAAUUGAGGCAAGAUGA